rnacentral:rRNA from 1 species
GUGAGAAUCUGGCUUCAGGUCGGGGACAACAGUUGGAAACGACUGCUAAUACCGGAUGUGCCGAGAGGUGAAAGAUUUAUNUGCCUGAAGAUGAGCUCGCGUCUGAUUAGCUAGUUGGUGAGGUAAGAGCUUACCAAGGCGACGAUCAGUAGCUGGUUUGAGAGGAUGAUCAGCCACACUGGGACUGAGACACGGCCCAGACUCCUACGGGAGGCAGCAGUGGGGAAUUUUCCGCAAUGGGCGAAAGCCUGACGGANCAAUACCGCGUGAGGGAGGANAGGCUCUUGGGUCGUAAACCUCUUUUCUCAAGGAAGAAAUUNNUGACGGUACUUGAGGAAUAAGCAUCGGCUAACUCCGUGCCAGCAGCCGCGGUAAUACGGAGGAUGCAAGCGUUAUCCGGAAUGAUUGGGCGUAAAGGGUCCGCAGGUGGAACUGAAAGUCUGCUGUUAAAGAAUUUGGCUCAACCAGAUAAAAGCAGUGGAAACUACAGAACUAGAGUAUGGUAGGGGUAGAAGGAAUUCCUAGUGUAGCGGUGAAAUGCGUAGAGAUUAGGAAGAACACCGGUGGCGAAAGCGUUCUACUAGACCAAGACUGACACUGAGGGACGAAAGCUAGGGGAGCGAANGGGA